rnacentral:rRNA from 1 species
GGCUUCUCCUUCGGGAGCAGAGUGACAGGUGGUGCAUGGUUGUCGUCAGCUCGUGUCGUGAGAUGUUGGGUUAAGUCCCGCAACGAGCGCAACCCUUGAUCUUAGUUGCCAUCAUUAAGUUGGGCACUCUAAGGUGACUGCCGGUGACAAACCGGAGGAAGGUGGGGAUGACGUCAAAUCAUCAUGCCCCUUAUGACCUGGGCUACACACGUGCUACAAUGGACGGUACAAAGAGCUGCAAGACCGCGAGGUGGAGCUAAUCUCAUAAAACCGUUCUCAGUUCGGAUUGUAGGCUGCAACUCGCCUACAUGAAGCUGGAAUCGCUAGUAAUCGCGGAUCAGCAUGCCGCGGUGAAUACGUUCCCGGGUCUUGUACACA